AUUGAACGCUGGCGGCAGGCCUAACACAUGCAAGUCGAGCGGAUGAGGGAAGCUUGCUUCCCGAUUUAGCGGCGGACGGGUGAGUAAUGCCUAGGAAUCUGCCUAUUAGUGGGGGAUAACGUUCCGAAAGGAACGCUAAUACCGCAUACGUCCUACGGGAGAAAGUGGGGGAUCUUCGGACCUCACGCUAAUAGAUGAGCCUAGGUCGGAUUAGCUAGGUGGUGAGGUAACGGCGAACCAAGGCGACGAUCCGUAGCUGGUCUGAGAGGAUGAUCAGCCACACUGGAACUGAGACACGGUCCAGACUCCUACGGGAGGCAGCAGUGGGGAAUAUUGGACAAUGGGCGAAAGCCUGAUCCAGCCAUGCCGCGUGUGUGAAGAAGGUCUUCGGAUUGUAAAGCACUUUAAGUUGGGAGGAAGGGUUGUAAGCUAAUAUCUUGCAGCUUUGACGUUACCAACAGAAUAAGCACCGGCUAACUCUGUGCCAGCAGCCGCGGUAAAAC
rnacentral:rRNA from 1 species